GGGGCAAGCGUUGUCCGGAAUCAUUGGGCGUAAAGAGCGUGUAGGCGGUUCGGUAAGUCCGCUGUAAAAGUCCAGGGCUCAACCCUGGAAAGCCGGUGGAAACUGUCGAGCUAGAGUCCGGAAGAGGCGAGUGGAAUUCCUGGUGUAGCGGUGAAAUGCGCAGAUAUCAGGAGGAACACCAAUGGCGAAGGCAGCUCGCUGGGACGGUACUGACGCUGAGACGCGAAAGCGUGGGGAGCAAACAGG
rnacentral:rRNA from 1 species